AAUCCACACAUAAGAACCCAGAGACACAAACACUCCCUGGGACAAAGACACGCAUCUAGAACACACAAAUUCACUUGGACAGCGACACACAGUAUCAACUUAGAAAGAUACACAGUCACACUCGCAUACACUCACGAUCACCUUCCACGCCAAGUAAUUCUCAGCAGUCUCCUACCCGCCACAAUUUACCCCCUCGGUAGGUACAACCUACCACCUCAGGGGGUGCGGUGGGGGGAGACGCUCCUGCCUUUUCUUUGGGUAGUUCAAGGACUUAACAGCUCUCACCCUCCCUACCCAACUGCCCUCUUGCCCCACAUCAGCUGCGAGGCCGGGAAUGCAGAGGGCGAGGGAAGUAGGAACCGGCUCCACCUUCUGCCUCCGUCUCCCAGACCAGGUCCCGUCCCAGUCUCCUCCUUCGCCCCUGCACCGAGUCCCCGACUCAGGAAAUGCCCCAACCUCCAGGGAAUGUAGACCCAGCGAAAGCAGAGAGAGCGCACCCGGGUGCCUCUAACCCUCACCGGCACACCGCCCACCCGUCGGUUUCAAGUGUUGCGUGGAUGCUACUGAGAACUAGGGCAUGUGGAAUUCGAGUCUGGGGGCUUUGAAGCUGGGGAAAGGACUUUCCUGGUUGUUUGCCUCUCCUCGUUGCUUCCCCCCUCAUCUUCGGGUCUUGAACAGUGGGGUGGGGUGUGUAGCCCCCCCCCCCUUUUCCCCCCCUUUCCAGCCGUGGGAGUGAGUGUAAUGAAAACCAUAUGGAGCUGAGAGAAAUGGGGGAGGUGGGGGGUUAGCGGGUAGAGAACACUAGCUAGAUAAAGGCGGUUCUUUGAAAUUGCUCCACCCCUAAAAUUCUCCUAUAGACUACCCCAUAUAGAAAACUUCACACAUUAUUUUCUGACAUAUAGCUGUUCUCUGUCACAGUGUUCUCUUCGUUUAAAGGCCCCCGAGAUGCCCUCGGUGGAGAGAGCCUUAGUUCUUAGUAUCCUCCAGGAUAUGACUUUUCUGGUGAAAAACAGCCAAGCUGAAGUUUGCCCCAAGGAAAAUAAGCUAGAAGUGAUGAGUAAAAAGGAAGCUGGAUUGGGGGGAGGGGGGGUUACUGUCCGAAGUGUAAGAACCCAGAGGCUCACAAUAGCAAACCGAUCGUUUACCCUAUGAAGUAGCAAACUGGUAUCCAUCAGAAAACGUAAACAAAUUUAUUUGGUAGGUCCUAGAAUUAUCAAUACACACUCUGCCGAUUUCUAUCACCGUAUUACAUCAAACAUCACUGGAAAUCUCAAAGACAGAAUGACAGGGUGAGGUUGUAUGUAGUCAGUAGCAUCUCUAAGGGUGACGGAGAAUCUUUAAGCCCUGGUCUAAAAUUACCUUCUGGUUUCAGAGAUAAUAUCGUAAAUUCAGACCUGGAAGGAGCACAUAGCAGUUGUUUCCUUCAACCUGCUAGUUGGUUGUUUUUUUUUUUCAAUAGAUGUGAAAAUUA
rnacentral:lncRNA from 1 species